AUUUCACCACCAGAUGGAGACGAAUCUCCAUCACAGGUCAUUUUAAUGUCGAAGAAGCAGAAACCGGAAGUUAUGAACAGGUGUUGGUUAAUUAACCUGAUUAAUGUUAAGCUAGCAACGUAACUUCGGUCUCAAGUUAACGUUGUUUGUCCUAAAAUGAAAUAACUCGCGACUCUAUGAAGAGGAAAUUAAAGAUAUGUAGAUAUCGAGAGUUAUGUCCAGUCUGCAGCAUAAAGACACUCAGUUCAUCAUAGAAACCAAAGGUGGACACGCAGUGUUUUAUAAUUCAGGCCUGGAACAACAGAGAUGUGGAGAACAUGCUGAUGGAUCACCACAACCAGAGCAACUCAGGACGACACCACGACAAGAACCUGGGCAGAUAAACUGUUGAUGUCUCGUCUGUGACGUUAAAACGAGUUAAAAUCUCUGAUAAAAAAAAAAAAAUAACAAUAAUAAUUCACAUAUUUGAUAAAUAAAAGUCAGAAAAAGCUGCUGGACGUGUUUCUGUGGUUUUAAAGUGUUCAGGUCUUUGAUUAUGUUGAGAUUCAAGAAUCUGUCCAGUGAAGAAAAGAUUUAAUUCAUAGAUGAAACUCUAAAAAUAUUUCUUCUGCUCAUGUGAAUCUAAAUCAAAGUUAAACUAAAGAUCUCCACAUGAACUCAAAGAGCUGUGGCUGUUAGAAGGUUCAGACAUUUGGAGGUGGAGGGUUAGUGGCUGUAAAAACACUGAGAGACUGUGUCUUCAGUCUUCAGCUGCUUCACUGGUCCAACACUCAAAGCUUCUCCAGAGUCCAGAGGAGAGUCUGAGGUUGAGAGUCUUCAGGUUGAGGGAGUCACUGACUGAACGGCUCAGUGAGUCGGGAGUUGAAUCAAGAGCUGAACGGCUCCUCAGAGGGGCGGAGUCUGUGGGAGGCGGAGCCAACUUUUUAACUUUUUCCAAAAUCUGAAA